UUUGGAUUCGGAUGCGCCUCUCUUGGCUGCUCCAACACCCACUUGCUUUGGCCCGUGUCUUGCACGUUAAACUGCGCCAGAGUUGUCACUCGGCCACACACACAACUGGGGGGUGAAGCGGCAACGCUGACCUCGGUACGAAGGUUGAAGUCAGAUCAUACUACCUCCCCGUGGUAACCUUUGGAAAUGCACAGACAGAAUGGGCAGACCGCUGUGUAGCCAAUGUAUGAAUGCAACUGUCCAUUGGGAAUGCCGACUGUGUGAUCUGUGUUGUUGUUGCAAUGCAAGGACCCAGUCUGGUGAAUGACAACCUAUCAAAACUGUGAUAUACUUGAAAUAUAACACAUGAAUGCGUUGGAUCCCUUGGCAUGCCAUUCGAUGAAGAACGUAGCAAGCUGCGAUAUGUGAUGUGAAUUGCAAAUCCAAAGCGAUCUCGUGAAUCAUUGAAUCUUUGAACGCACUGCACCGCCCUUUAUGGGAGUGGUACGCCCGAAUGAGCGUCAUGAUAACCUUCAGGCGGGUGUGUCCAGUUGUUGAAUCAAUGGACAUGCUGCUGUUGCAACCCAUCUCCUUGGAGGUGGCAGAGACAGCGGUGUGUGGACACAUCUUGCACUGGUUUCGAGACUGCACAGUUUGUUUCACCAACAAAUGGUGUGUCUUUAGAUACAUUAGCGGAACUGGCCCUGCUGCCACGUUAACACUGCUGUGUGAUAGUCACAACGUCCACAGACAGGAGUGAUGGCAUUCCAGCUGCUACUAACUUGCCCCAGGGCAAACUGCCUUCCAAGUGUCACUGCAUGUCAAACACACGGUUGUGCAACACCAUGAUGAUUGGCCUUCAUUUGGGUGUGAUGACCCGCUUGAUUAAGCAUA
rnacentral:rRNA from 1 species